rnacentral:rRNA from 1 species
AUACGGAGGGUGCAAGCGUUACUCGGAAUCACUGGGCGUAAAGCGCGCGCAGGCGGCCAUUUAAGUUGGAUGUGAAAGCCUACGGCUCAACCGUAGAACUGCAUCCAAAACUAUUUGGCUAGAGUGUGGGAGAGGAAGAUGGAAUUAGUUGUGUAGGGGUAAAAUCCGUAGAGAUAACUAGGAAUACCAAAAGCGAAGGCAAUCUUCUGGAACAUUACUGACGCUGAGGCGCGAAAGCGUGGGGAGCGAACAGGAUUAGAAACCCUAGUAGUCC